rnacentral:rRNA from 1 species
CGCCUCUUGACCACUAUAAGAGGUCUAGCCUGCCCAGUGACCAAUUUAACGGCCGCGGUACCCUAACCGUGCGAAGGUAGCAUAAUCACUUGUUUCCUAAAUAGAGACUAGCAUCAACGGCAUCACGAAGACUAUACUGUCUUCCCCCUAAAAUCAAUGAAACUAAUCCCCUCGUGAAGAAGCGAGGAUAAAAAUAUAAGACGAGAAGACCCCAUGGAGCUUUAAACGAACUUUAAUUGCUCUUAAUCUUACCAUAAAAAACGAGCACUAAUAAAAGAUAGUUUUCGGUUGGGGUGACCACGGAGUAAAACAAAACCUCCACAGUGAAUGUAAUAAUACUAAUACAAGAACUACAAUUCUAAUAAUCAAAAAAUUGACACACUUGACCCAAACACUUGAUCAAUGAACCAAGUUACCCUGGGGAUAACAGCGCAAUCCAUUUUAAGAGCCCCUAUCGACAAAUGGGUUUACGACCUCGAUGUUGGAUCAGGGUAUCCUAGUGGUGCAGCCGCUACUAAUGGUUCGUUUGUUCAACGAUUAAAAC